AGCAGCCGCGGCAAUUCCAGCUCCAAUAGCGUAUAUUAAAGUUGUUGCAGUUAAAAAGCUCGUAGUUGAAUUUCGGGAUCAAUAUAUCGGUCGUGCCUUGGUACGUACUGGUAUCAUUGGUUUCUCCUUUCUGACGAACCAUGAUGUCAUUAAUUUGGUGUUAUGGGAAGUUAGGACUGUUACUUUGAAAAAAUUAGAGUGUUUAAAGCAGGCUUUAGCUUGAAUACAUUAGCAUGGAAUAAUGAAAUAGGACGUUCGAACCUAUUUUGUUGGUUUCUAGGAUCAACGUAAUGAUUAAUAGGGAUAGUUGGGGGCAUUAGUAUUCAAUUGUCAGAGGUGAAAUUCUUGGAUUUAUUGAAGACUAACUACUGCGAAAGCAUUUGCCAAGGAUGUUUUCAUUAAUCAAGAACGAAAGUUAGGGGAUCGAAGACGAUCAGAUACCGUCGUAGUCUUAACCAUAAACUAUGCCGACUAGGGAUCGGAUGAUGUUAAUUUUUUAAUGACUCAUUCGGCGCCUUACG
rnacentral:rRNA from 1 species